rnacentral:rRNA from 1 species
UACGUAGGGUGCAAGCGUUAAUCGGAAUUACUGGGCGUAAAGCGUGCGCAGGCGGCUUUGCAAGACAGAUGUGAAAUCCCCGGGCUUAACCUGGGAACUGCAUUUGUGACUGCAUGGCUGGAGUGCGGCAGAGGGGGAUGGAAUUCCGCGUGUAGCAGUGAAAUGCGUAGAUAUGCGGAGGAACACCGAUGGCGAAGGCAGCCCCCUGGGAUAACACUGACGCUCAUGCACGAAAGCGUGGGGAGCAAACAGG